GGAGAGGUGGCAGAGUGGUUGAAUGCGGCGGUCUCGAAAACCGCUUCACCUUUAGGGGUGACGGGGGUUCGAAUCCCCCCCUCUCCG
rnacentral:tRNA from 1 species